ensembl:snRNA U6 U6 spliceosomal RNA
GUGCUAACUGCAUCAGCACAUAUACUAAAAUUGGAACCACAGAGAGAUGAACAUGGCUGCUAUGCAAGAAUGACAGUGCAAAUUUGUGAAGCGUUCCAUAUAUUU